GGGUCGUUUCUCCUCGUCUGCACCGGCUCCGGCUUCACCUUCAGCAGCUUCGGCAUGGGAUGGAUGCGACAGGCGUCCGGGAAGGGCCUGGAGUGGGUCGCGGGUACUACUGGUGGUGGUGGUAGCACAUUCUACGCGCCGGCGGUCAAGGGCCGCUUCACCAUCUCCAGGGACAACUCCCAGAGCACGGUCACGCUGCAGAUGAGCAGCCUCACGGCCGACGACACGGCCACCUACUACUGCGCCAAAAGUUCUUUUGGUUAUGGUGGUGGUCCCAAACCUUGA